rnacentral:misc_RNA from 1 species
GAUGAAGAACGUAGCGAAAUGCGAUACGUAAUGUGAAUUGCAGAUCUCUCAGUGAACCAUCGAAUUUUUGAACGCACAUUGCGCCCCCUGGUAUUCCGGGGGGCAUGCCUAUCCGAGCGUCAUUGCUGCCCUCAAGCACGGCUUGUGUGUUGGGCCUCCGUCCUCCUCCCGGGGGACGGGCCCGAAAGGCAGCGGCGGCACCGCGUCCGGUCCUCGAGCGUAUGGGGCUUCGUCACCCGCUCUUGUAGGCCCGGCCGGCGCUUGCCGACACAUCAAUCUUUUUUCCAGGUUGACCUCGGAUCAGGUAGGGAUACCCGCUGAACUUAAGCAUAUCAAUAAGCGGAGGA